AAUUAUACCUGGCAGCUAGGUAAAUCUUCCCCAAAAAGGUGGUGCUGAAGAAGGCUGGUGAUUCUGAGGAAAGAGCCGCCAUCUCCUCAAGAACCCACCAGAAGCCUUCUCCUCAGUCCAGGCUACUGAACCACAUCCUAUUCUGAUGCUCGUCAUUACUAGUUAACUGUGGAGCCGAACCAGGAGCAGACCAUUUACUUGAAGUUUUGGGACGAACCACCUGAUUUGCUUCACUGCUACUGCGAUUGAUGAUCUCUUGAAACUUCUUUCUACGCUCUGCUACUAAGCUGAAAACUUGAGCUGUACCAGAAUUCUACCGUUAAAAAAGAGAAAGAAAAUCAAGAGAAGUUAUUCAGUGUUAAGUGUAAAAAUAUGUUAGCAUUAUAAUGUUCAAAGUUUCCUCUGAGGAUUUAUUCAAUAGAUUUGUCCUUUGAAUUGCACAUCUCUACGGUAAACUGUUCGAAGAAUGACCAUGACAGGGUCAAACUCCUGAUCCCAGACUUCAGCUAUUAUUCAAAAGAAAGUAGAAACAAAACACUGACUUCAGGUCAAUCCUUGAUGACAAGUACAUUUAAGUAUAUUUUAAAUUCAUAAGAUGGGAUAGUUUGAUUUGAUUAUACAUUUGCUUUAAUAAGCCUGAUAUUGUGACUACUAUUCUAAGUCAAAAAUCAUAAUUUCAUCAUUAUGAAUAUUAAGUCAGCAAGAACUAAUGAGCAAAAACUACUAUAAUGUAAAAAAGAUGUUAUAAUGUGAUAAAGCUUCACCAUAAAAGUUUAGUUCAUCUUUUUUUUGUAAAGUGCCAACAGAAUGUAAGAAACACAAUGCAUUAACAACUUUGAAAAUAUUCAGAUAUAUAAAUAUGAAAACUAAAUUAAAAAACUAAUGAGC